rnacentral:rRNA from 1 species
UACGUAGGGCGCGAGCGUUGUCCGGAAUUAUUGGGCGUAAAGAGCUUGUGGGCGGUCUGUCGCGUCUGCUGUGAAAAUCCGGGGCUCAACCCCGGACUUGCAGUGGGUACGGGCAGACUAGAGUGUGGUAGGGGAGACUGGAAUUCCUGGUGUAGCGGUGAAAUGCGCAGAUAUCAGGAGCAACACCGAUGGCGAAGGCAGGUCUCUGGGCCACUACUGACGCUGAGAAGCGAAAGCAUGGGGAGCGAACAGG